rnacentral:rRNA from 1 species
GGUAGAAUCACAGGUUGAGCAAAGACGAGACGGUUGUAUUGAUCUACAGGUGGCCCUAUGGGAGGCCCCCUACUCAAUGAAUCAAAGGUGCGCCAGGAAUAACAGGCUGGCUCCCCCC